rnacentral:snRNA from 1 species
AUCGCUUCUCGGCCUUUUGGCUAAGAUCAAGUGUAAAAACUGUAGAAUAUAGAUGGAACAUUUUGUGCCUUGGUAUAUCUUUAUGGCGGGGCUCUUUUUUUAAUUUGGAAGAAAUUAAGGAUGGUUUUGUAGUGACACUGUAAGCCAGUCUAGCCAAAACUG